GAUGAACGCUGGCGGCGUGCCUAAUACAUGCAAGUCGAGCGAACAGACGAGGAGCUUGCUCCUCUGACGUUAGCGGCGGACGGGUGAGUAACACGUGGAUAACCUACCUAUAAGACUGGGAUAACUUCGGGAAACCGGAGCUAAUACCGGAUAAUAUAUUGAACCGCAUGGUUCAAUAGUGAAAGACGGUUUUGCUGUCACUUAUAGAUGGAUCCGCGCCGCAUUAGCUAGUUGGUAAGGUAACGGCUUACCAAGGCAACGAUGCGUAGCCGACCUGAGAGGGUGAUCGGCCACACUGGAACUGAGACACGGUCCAGACUCCUAAGGGAGGCAGCAGUAGGGAAUCUUCCGCAAUGGGCGAAAGCCUGGCGGAGCAGCGCCGCGUGAGUGAUGAAGGUCUUCGGAUCGUAAAACUCUGUUAUUAGGGAAGAACAAAUGUGUAAGUAACUAUGCACGUCUUGACGGUACCUAAUCAGAAAGCCACGGCUAACUACGUG
rnacentral:rRNA from 1 species